rnacentral:rRNA from 1 species
ACGAACGCUGGCGGCGUGCUUAACACAUGCAAGUCGAGCGGAAAGGCCCUUCGGGGUACUCGAGCGGCGAACGGGUGAGUAACACGUGAGUAACCUGCCCUAGGCUUUGGGAUAACCCCGGGAAACCGGGGCUAAUACCGGAUAUGACCUGGUGCCGCAUGGUGUUGGGUGGAAAGUUUUUUCGGCCUGGGAUGGGCUCGCGGCCUAUCAGCUUGUUGGUGGGGUGAUGGCCUACCAAGGCGAUGACGGGUAGCCGGCCUGAGAGGGCGACCGGCCACACUGGGACUGAGACACGGCCCAGACUCCUACGGGAGGCAGCAGUGGGGAAUAUUGCACAAUGGGCGGAAGCCUGAUGCAGCGACGCCGUGUGAGGGAUGAAGGCCUUCGGGUUGUAAACCUCUUUCAGCAGGGACGAAGCGUGAGUGACGGUACCUGCAGAAGAAGCGCCGGCCAACUACGUG